ACUUUAGUGUUGGAGAAGACUCCUGAGAAUACUAUGGAUCAUUGAAGAAUUCAACCCAGAGUUUUCACUUCAUGCAGAAAUGGCAAGGGUCAAAUUAUCCUACUUGAGAGACAUAUUGCAAAGACCUGGCUCUCUGGCAGGGAGAGAUGGAAGGACAUAGAAUAGGAAGAUGACCAGUAGCAAGUUUGAAGUUUAACCUUUUCACCUGCUGGAGAGAUGCCAAAGAGAUGCUAGCAAGAAAUGGACAAAUUUUCUAAUAGGUCACCAUCCACCGAGAAAAUAAAGGAUAUCUACCACAGCAGUGAAAUUGCCUGCUGUUUCUUGGCUAUGGAAGCAGGACUGCCCUAUUGUGCAACUGAAGAAAUUCCAGUGUUCCUAUCAUUUCAUGUACACUGCUCAUGAAUACAAAUAAAUGUAUUAUCCAAUCAGUGGU